UCAAAAACAUGUCUUUUUGACAAUAAUUUAAAGUCUAAUCUGCCCACUGAUAUAAAUAUUAAAGGGCUGCAGUAUAUUGACUGUACAAAGGUAGCAUAAUCAUUAGUCUUUUAAAUGAAGACUUGUAUGAAAGAUUUGAUGAAAUAUAAUCUGUCUCUAUAUUAUUAAUAGAAAUUAAUUUUUUAGUUAAAAAGCUAAAAUAAUACUAAAAGACGAGAAGACCCUAUAAAGUUUUAUAAUUUAUUUAUUUAUUUUUAAUUAUAAAAAUAAAUAUAAUAAUUAAAUAAAUUAUUUUAUUGGGGUGAUAGAAAAAUUAAAUAAACUUUUUUUUAACAUAAAACAUAAAUAAAUGAAAAAUUGAUCCAUUAAUAAUGAUUAAAAGAAAAAAUUACUUUAGGGAUAACAGCGUAAUAUUUUUUUUUAGUACAAAUAAAAAAAAAAGUUUGCGACCUCGAUGUUGGAUUAAGAUAAAAUUUAAAUGCAAAAGUUUAAAAUUUUGAUCUGUUCGAUCAUUAAAAUCUUACAUGAUCUGAGCU
rnacentral:rRNA from 1 species